rnacentral:tRNA from 1 species
GGCACGAUGGCGAAGUGGAAACGCUGGGGUCUGCAAAACCUCGAUGCGAGGGUUCGAUUCCCUCUCGUGCCUCCA